AGUGAACGCUGGCGGUAGGCCUAACACAUGCAAGUCGAACGGCAGCACAGUAAGAGCUUGCUCUUACGGGUGGCGAGUGGCGGACGGGUGAGGAAUACAUCGGAUUCUACUUUUUCGUGGGGGAUAACGUAGGGAAACUUACGCUAAUACCGCAUACGACCUACGGGUGAAAGCAGGGGAUCUUCGGACCUUGCGCGAUUGAAUGAGCCGAUGUCGGAUUAGCUAGUUGGCGGGGUAAAGGCCCACCAAGGCGACGAUCCGUAGCUGGUCUGAGAGGAUGAUCAGCCACACUGGAACUGAGACACGGUCCAGACUCCUACGGGAGGCAGCAGUGGGGAAUAUUGGACAAUGGGCGCAAGCCUGAUCCAGCCAUACCGCGUGGGUGAAGAAGGCCUUCGGGUUGUAAAGCCCUUUUGUUGGGAAAGAAAAGCAGCAGGUUAAUACCCCGCUGUUCUGACGGUACCCAAAGGAUAAGCACCGGCUAACUUCGUG
rnacentral:rRNA from 1 species